ACGAACGCUGGCGGCGUGCUUAACACAUGCAAGUCGAACGGUGAACUCCGCUUGCGGGGGGAUCAGUGGCGAACGGGUGAGUAACACGUGGGCAACCUGCCCUCAGCUCUGGGAUAACUCCAAGAAAUUGGGGCUAAUACCGGAUAUGACCGCUGACCGCAUGGUCUGGUGGUGGAAAGAUUUAUCGGCUGGGGAUGGGCCCGCGGCCUAUCAGCUUGUUGGUGGGGUAGUGGCCUACCAAGGCGACGACGGGUAGCCGGCCUGAGAGGGUGACCGGCCACACUGGGCCUGCGACACGGCCCAGACUCCUACGGGAGGCAGCAGUGGGGAAUAUUGCGCAAUGGGCGAAAGCCUGACGCAGCGACGCCGCGUGGGGGAUGACGGCCUUCGGGUUGUAAACCUCUUUCAGCAGGGACGAAGCGAAAGUGACGGUACCUGCAGAAGAAGCACCGGCCAACUACGUG
rnacentral:rRNA from 1 species